UACAGGGGGUGCAAACGUUGCUCGGAAUUAUUGGGCGUAAAGCGCGCGUAGGCGGCUACUUAAGUCGGAUGUGAAAGCCCUUGGCUCAACUGAGGAAGUGCACCCGAAACUGAGUGGCUUGAGUACUAAAGAGGGUCGCGGAAUUCCCGGUGUAGAGGUGAAAUUCGUAGAUAUCGGGAGGAACACCGGUGGCGAAGGCGGCGACCUGGGUAGAUACUGACGCUGAGGCGCGAAAGCGUGGGGAGCAAACGGG
rnacentral:rRNA from 1 species